GCGAACGCUGGCGGCGUACUUAACACAUGCAAGUCGAACGAGGAUCGUCGGGUUAGCAAUAAUUCGGCGGUUCUAGUGGCGCACGGGUGAGUAACACGUGGGUAACCUGCCCCAGAGACCGGGAUACCCUCUCGAAAGGGAGGCUAAUACCGGAUACGUUCCCCGGGUCGCGAGAUCCGAGGAGGAAAGGUAGCAAAAGCUGCCGCUCUUGGAGGGGCUCGCGGCCUAUCAGCUAGUUGGUGAGGUAACGGCUCACCAAGGCGAUGACGGGUAGCUGGUCUGAGAGGACGACCAGUCACACGGGAACUGAGACACGGUCCCGACUCCUACGGGAGGCAGCAGUGGGGAAUUUUCCGCAAUGGGCGAAAGCUUGACGGAGUGACGCCGCGUGGGGGACGAAGGCCUUCGGGUCGUAAACCCCUGUCAGAGGGAAAGAA
rnacentral:rRNA from 1 species